rnacentral:rRNA from 1 species
GGUGCCAGCAGCCGCGGUAAUUCCAGCUCCAAUAGCGUAUAUUAAAGUUGUUGCAGUUAAAAAGCUCGUAGUUGGAUCUCGGGUCCAGGCUUGCGGUUCUGCUCGUGCAGACACUGCUCGUCCUGACCUACCUGCCGGUUUUCCCUUGGUGCCCUUGAUUGGGUGUCUCGGGUGGCCGGAACGUUUACUUUGAAAAAAUUAGAGUGUUCAAAGCAGGCAGCUCGCCUGAAUAAUGGUGCAUGGAAUAAUAGAAAAGGACCUCGGUUCUAUUUUGUUGGUUUCCGGAACUUGAGGUAAUGAUUAAGAGGGACAGACGGGGGCAUUCGUAUUACGGUGUUAGAGGUGAAAUUCUUGGAUCGCCGUAAGACGAACUACUGCGAAAGCAUUUGCCAAGAAUGUUUUCAUUAAUCAAGAACGAAAGUCA